AGGAGUCUCUGAAAACGUCUCAGGAGUCUCUGAAGCUCAGAAUCCAUGGUCGUAAAGCCGCCGGACGACGAUUCAAAGAACGGGAAGCAAGUCGACGAUCCUAAUGCAAUCGAUUUGGACAUUGACAAGCAAGUCCUUGGCCUUCCUCUAUCAAGUCAGCCGUAUUCAACUUCUUCCUGAAUUUUUGAAGGCCCAGAGAAUAGCUGCAUCGGAUAUGAGGAGAAAUUGCUCUGUGGCUCUUGGCAAUGUCAACAUCAGUAAAAAUCGUUACACGGAUGUAUUAACCCUUUGAUGAGACUAGAGGCGUACUUGACUCUUGUAAGGAUUACAGACCUUCUGCAUGGGGUUAUAUCAAUGCAAGCUUUAUUUCCGUAAGUGCAACAAUUGAUGUGCUUCUACUUAGAUAAUAUUUCAGUACAAGUUCUCUUUUGACUUUCCUCUCCAUUGUCUAUUUGAAGAUUAGUUAUUACCACACACCUUACGAGGAUUUCUGGAUGCGAUUUCUCGUGUGGCUCCUCGGGGCUUUGUGUUUAUUUAUUUGCUGUUCUUGAGAAGUUCUUGGCUGUUCAACGCACCAAUGUUUCAUAUGAAUUUUGAAUUGUACAUUGUUGUAUCAAUAGUGCUACUGUUUGGGUGUGAAGACUUGGAGCUUCUUUCUGCAGAAGAGCUACAUACACCAAAUUCACUUCUUGUUAUUUUUAAUGGACGUAUCCUUGGCAAACAUCGGAGGCCUCAGGAGAAGAUAUUCUUGAACUCUAGUUUUUAUAGUUUACAUUCCAUUCUCUGUGUGAUUGAACUAUAGCAUGUUCGUUGAUUAAAAGUUUCCUACUGCCUACUUGUUUCACACUUGUCGGCUUCUCUUCCUUUAGUACUUUGCUACAGGUAUGAGAAUGCUGAGGAGAGCUGGAAAAAUUGGCGAGUUUGUCAAUGCCUUUGUGAAUGACAAGCAGGUUAUUCUCUUUUCUGCUCCUGUUCUCCUAUAACAAUGUGCCAGCCACUCUAGGUUUAUUCUUAUGGGACAAUGCUUCAGUAUAGUAUUUAGCACUUAUGGAUUGAGUCUGCUGUGUUUUUUAACUAGUUUUAAUUUGGACAUCUACUGUUACAUUCAAUCUAACUCAUUCUACAGAAGAAAUUCAAGCUCUGGUCAAUGAGCUUGUAUAUGACAAUGUUUCAUAAUAUUUCAGCACAAGAAGUAGAAAGUUUGCAAUUUUUUGCAGUGGAAAUGUGACUUCCCUCAUAUUCAUGUUUACAUGUAAUUGAGACAAUACUUUCAUGAGACCAUGUUCAUACUUGAACGGGAAAUGAUUUCCAUCUUCAUUUGAUAUUUAUUGCACUUGCAAACCACUAAGCCUGUGUGAGAAUGUAUCAACACUGUGUUUAUAAUUGCUUCUGAUGGAGGACGAGUUUGUCGUCCACUUGUCAUUGCUGACAAAGGUGUAUCGAGAAUUAAAGAAUAGACUCAUCGGUAAGGCACAUUCAACUGCUGCUAGCGUUUGUGUUUACUUUGCAUCAAACCUUCAGAGUUGUUAUUGAAAAUAUAUUUUUUGGUCACUUUCUCCUUUUUUUUUUUCGGGGAUGAAGUCUGUACAUUUGAUGAUUAUUUACGGGAAGGUUUAAUCGAGUAUCUUGAUGUAAACGAGGAGAAUAAUGCUUUGGUAUGUUUACAACUGAAUUGUCUGAUGUUCUUUGAUUAUGAUACAAAAACACACAAAGUGCAUCUUUUUCAGACUGCUUUGUAUGAAGGAGAAGCUACACCUGAAACAACUCAUAUUGAGAUCGAGCCCUUUACCAUAUUUUAAACAAUCGGUAUUCUGUGACUGCUACAGCUAUAGUUUAAAGGUAUUCUUCCAUGGUUUUGCAGGCUUUUGGAUGUAAGAAUUGGCGAGCCUUCUGACCGUGAAUGCUGUCAGUGAAUCUAUUAGUUCUCAUAUGUGCCGCGCUUAUCUGACCUUACUUACAGAAAGAUGUGGUGAUUGGGAGGAUUCCUAUAUGCUAUGAAAACGUUGCUGUGCUUUACGCGAUUUCAGUGUCUCCAAUUGUAUAAUUCUUUGAAUGUUAUCAGUGAAUCUAUUAGUUCUCAUAUGCGCUGCUUAUCUGACCUCGCGUAUGGUUCCUUGGUGAAUGUUAUUAUUAUUUAGUUGAAUACUGCAGAAAGACGGUGGUGGUGGUGAUUGGGAGGAGGAUGCCUCUAUGCUAUGAAGACUUUGUUGUGUUUUAUGUGACUUUGUUGUGUUUUAUGUGAUUUUGUUGUUUUAUGUGAUUUCAAAGUCUCCAAUUAUCUAGUUCUUCG